UAAGUAAAAAAAAAAAGACUACCCGACCC
rnacentral:piRNA from 1 species